AACGAACGCUGGCGGCAUGCCUAACACAUGCAAGUCGAACGAGACCUUCGGGUCUAGUGGCGCACGGGUGCGUAACGCGUGGGAACCUGCCCUUAGGUUCGGAAUAACUCCCCGAAAGGGGUGCUAAUACCGGAUAAUGUCUUCGGACCAAAGAUUUAUCGCCUUUGGAUAGGCCCGCGUUGGAUUAGCUAGUUGGUAGGGUAAAAGCCUACCAAGGCGACGAUCAAUAGCUGGUCUGAGAGGAUGAUCAGCCACACUGGGACUGAGACACGGCCCAGACUCCUACGGGAGGCAGCAGUGGGGAAUAUUGGACAAUGGGCGAAAGCCUGAUCCAGCAAUGCCGCGUGAGUGAUGAAGGCCUUAGGGUUGUAAAGCUCUUUUACCCGGGAUGAUAAUGACAGUACCGGGAGAAUAAGCUCCGGCUAACUCCGUG
rnacentral:rRNA from 1 species